GACGAACUGUCCAAACGUUGUUCGGAAUCACUGGGCUUAAAGGGCGCGUAGGCGGUCCGACAAGUCAGGGGUGAAAUCCUGCAGCUUAACUGUAGAAGUGCCUCUGAUACUGGAGAUCUUGAGUCCGGGAGAGGUGAGUGGAACUGCGAGUGUAGAGGUGAAAUUCGUAGAUAUUCGCAAGAACACCAGUGGCGAAGGCGGCUCACUGGCCCGGUACUGACGCUGAGGUGCGAAAGCGUGGGGAGCAAACAGG
rnacentral:rRNA from 1 species